GACGAACGCUGGCGGCGUGCCUAAUACAUGCAAGUCGAGCGAACGGACGGGAAGUUUCCUUCUUUGAUGUUAGCGGCGGACGGGUGUGUAACACGUGGAUCAUCUCCGUAUACGACUGGGAUAACUUCGGGACACCGUCGCUAAUACCGGAUCAUAUUUUGACCCGUAUGAUUCACUAGUAAAAUACGGUUUCGUCGUUACCAAUUGAAGCUUCCGCGCUGCAUUAGGUAGUUGGUAAGGUAACGGCUUACCACGGCAACGAAGCAUCGACGACCGGGGAGGGGGUUCGCCCACACUGGAACUGAGACACGGCCCGGACUCCUACGGGAGGCAGCGGAGGGGAACCUUGCGAAAUGGGCGAAAGCUGAACGGAGCAAGGCGGCGGGGGUGAGGAAGUUCUUCGGAUCGUAAAACCCUGUUAUUGGGGAAGAACAGAGGUGGAAUGAACUGUGCACAUCGUGACGGUACCUAAUCAGAAAGCCACGGCUAACUACGUG
rnacentral:rRNA from 1 species